UACGUAGGGUGCGAGCGUUGUCCGGAAUUAUUGGGCGUAAAGAGCUCGUAGGCGGUCUGUCGCGUCGAUCGUGAAAACUUGGGGCUUAACCCUGAGCUUGCGGUCGAUACGGGCAUGACUGGAGUUCGGCAGGGGAGACUGGAAUUCCUGGUGUAGCGGUGAAAUGCGCAGAUAUCAAGGAGGAACACCGGUGGCGAAGGC
rnacentral:rRNA from 1 species